rnacentral:lncRNA from 1 species
GUUGUUUUUGUUGUUGUCAUUGUCAUUGUUGAAGUUGUUUUCGUUAGUGUUGUCCUCAGCAACAGUGAUAUAAGAAACAGGGUUGUAAUUUUUGGGAAGGUACUUGCUGUUAGGAAGAUUGUUUACAUUGGGAGAAUUGGUGUUAGUAGUAGAAGGGGUGGAAACAGAGUCAUGACCAUAUAAGCCAUAUGCACCAUUUUCAUUUUCAGGCAUGAAAUUUGGCUCUUGCUCUUUGUUAGGAACAACUGAUUGUGUCUCUUUUUCACCAUUGUUGCUAGGGACUUUGUUGAAAAAUUGGCCAUCCC